AAAUCCGGCCGAUCCGGCCACCAAUUGAACCGGGUCUUGUGUCCAAAAUCAUCUACUCGGCGAGAGCUUUCCAUAGACACCAAGAACGCCGAAAUCCAUCGAGCGGAUUGUCCGAUUUUUGCUCGGGAAGAUUUUAGCCCAUUUCGACUUUUGGGCUAGAUUUCUCGAAAACCGUGAAUCCCACGAGAAAACCGAGGCCACCAGCACGCUCCAUUCGUCAAGAGCUUCGCAACGACAUAAAUUUCGAAUUUUUCCGACAUCGUUUUUCGGUAUCCUCGAUUCGCGGAAAUUCGACAGUUGACCGGGUCUGCAAAUUUCGGGCCAGACAGACCCGUUACCGGAAAAGUCUCCGAAUUGGACCGAGGUUUUGGCUAGCCCCCCAUUGUCAGAUGUCCCGAGCGCGUUCCCGAAGUCGGAAUCGGCAAAGGUGAGCCAGGACAGCCUUCUUCCUCCGCCCAGCCGCCACAGUAAUUUGUCGUCAAGUUUGUAAG